rnacentral:lncRNA from 1 species
CUGCAAUGGAUACCAGCAGCUCCGCCCAUGGAGCUGGCUCUGCCGCCUCUUCGUCUUCUUCGCAGAGCUCAAACCGCUGGAAGUACGAGGUGUUCCUGAGCUUUAGAGGCGAAGACACCCGCAACACUUUCACAGACCACCUCUUCAUUGCGUUACGCAAUGCUGGAAUUAACACGUUUAUAGACAACCAGCUCACAAGGGGGGAAAACAUACAGAGUGAACUUGACCAAGAAAUCGAAGGGUCGAGAAUCGCUGUCAUCGUCUUCUCGAAGGAGUACGCGGAGUCCCGGUGGUGCCUGAGGGAGCUGUCAAAGAUCAUGAGGUGCCUAAAAGAUCAAGAGGGGAAAAUCGUCUGUCCAAUAUUCUACGACGUUGACCCUUCUCAAGUCAGGAAACAGGAAGAUAGUUUUGGGGAAGCAUUUCAGAAGCAUGAAACGACUGAAGAUCCAAAUGAGGUCAAGCAGUGGAGAGAGGAUCUGAAGGCUUCUGCAGAUUUGGGCGGCUGGAAUCUCAAAACCACGGCCGACGGGUAUACUUUUUUGUUUACUUCAAAUUUCAUAUCACCAUGUUUCAUCAAAUUUCAUAGGGAUUUUUGUACUUUAAUCCUUCAAGAAGAUUAAAAUUUAAUAAAAAGCUAGUGUUAGAUUGAAUAUUGAUUUUAGUCCCUUAAUGUGUAAUUAAUUCAAAUUCAUAUUAUAUUUUUAAUUUUAUAUUUAAUAGAUAACUUAUUUAAUGUUAUUACUUUAAAUUUUAUAUUUGUUAUUAUAAACAUUUUAAUUCACUAAUUUUAUUUAACUUUCUCUAAUUAGUGUACCUAAACGUCUGUAUCAUAAUAUAUUUUACUAAAUUAGUGUACCGAAAUGUCCGUACAUAAAUAUAUAUAGUGAAUUAGUGACACAUAAGAAAAUAUGUAAAAACAUAAGUUUACCGAAAAUUCCGUACCUAACUAUAUGAUACGAAACUAGUGUAUUGAAAUAUCGGUACCUAAAUAUAUUAUACUAUACUAGUGUACCGAAAUAUCUAUACCUAAACAUAUUAUACUAACCCAAUCGAAACCAAUCGAAAUGUUCGUACCUAAAUAUAUUGUAAUGAAUUAAUGGCAGAUAAGAAAAUAUGCAAAAACAUAAGUGUACCAAAAAAUCUCUACGAAAAUAUUUUCUUAUAUAAGAUGCUUACCAUAAUGAAAAUUAAAAUUUAUAAUAUUUUCAUAAAAUUUAAAUUCAUAAAAUUAUAAAUAAAAAAAGAGACAUUGAAUACAUAAAUAGAGUCAAGGGACUAAAAUCAAAUUUUAAGCUUGUAUAAGACAUUUUUCUAAAUUUCAUUUUAUUUAGGGAUUAAAAUCUAGUUUCCUAAAUUUCAUAUCACUAUGUUUCACUAAUCAACCAAAAUUAAGAUAUUGUAAGUAAGGCAUUGAAUCUGAUUUAUAUGUUAGAGAAGAAAAAUUGGAUCAUUGGUCCCUGAACUAUGAUAGAAGUGUAAUUUUGGUCACUACAUAAAAAUUUAUUACAAUUGGUAUAUGAAUUUUAUAAAAGGUAGAGCAUUUGCAUAUGAAUUUCUGUCAAAAUUAAGGAAGUGAAACGGAGGGUACAUGCUUCGUUUUUUAUGGGUGUGUGAAGAACAAAUGCUCCACACUUUAUCAAAUUAAAAUACCAAUUGUAAUGGAUUCUUAAUUAUAUAAUUGAAAGCUACAAUUGUGUAAUAGUCCAAUGACCAGUGACCUAAUGUAUUCAUGUUAUAAUUGAAGAAUAAAUACGUGGUUGAAUUGAGCUCAGUAAAUCACAAUUUAUUCAAACCUGUUUCAAUACGUAAAUAUAUAGUCAUGAUGAAUAAGGCAUCUAGUAUGGCUCUCGUAAUUUGGAAUUUCUACUUGUAGCCGUGAAGGAGUGUUUAUCGAGAAAAUUAUUGGGGACAUCAAGGGACUAUUGAAACCCACAGACUUAAAAGAAGCCAAACACUCAGUUGGAAUAGCUUUUCGCAUGCAAGAAUUCAACACUAAAUACUUAGACAUUGUGGGUUCACCUGAUGUUCAAAUAAUUGGAAUUUGGGGUACAGGCGGUAUAGGUAAAACAACGCUUGCCAAAGAGAUUUGUAGUAAAUAUGGUCAUAGUUUCAGCAAUCAAUGUUACCUUGAAGAGGUGAGGAGUAACAAGAAAAAUAUGGUUAGUCUGCAAGAACAACUUCUUCGAGAUCUUUUGAAACGGCAUGACAUUAAGGUAAGCAGUGUUGCUGAAGGAACCAAGGAGAUAGAGAAAAGACUUGGAAGCAUGAAGGUACUUGUCGUGGUUGAUGACAUAGAUGAUGCGGACCAAUUAGAUAAAUUGGCGAUAUCACAUGUCUCGUUUGGUCCCGGAAGUAGGAUUAUUAUAACAACAAGAGAUGAACAUGUGUUGAAUAUACAAAAGGUGGAUAAAAGAUAUAAAGCACAAGGAAUGACUAAUGACGAAGCUUUUGAGCUCCUUAGUUGGCAUGCCUUUGGAAAUCCUCGUCCCGACGAAGAAUAUAUUGAGCUCGCAAGAGAUGUUGUUGAUUAUUGUGGAGGACUGCCUCUAGCUCUUGAAGUUGUUGGCCGUUUGUUGGCUACGAAAAAGAGUAAAAGCAUAUGGAAAAGUACAUUGGAAAAUUGAAAAAUAUUCCUGAUAGAAAAAUUCAUGAAACGCUUAAAUUAAGCUACGAUGGGCUACGUGAUGAUCAUGUGAAGGGUGUGUUCCUUGACAUAUCUUGUUUCUUUCUUGGAUGGGGUAAACUUCUUGUCACGGCAAUAUUGGAUGGUUGUAGUCGUUUUUCUGUAGAAGCAGAAAUUACCACACUUUGCGAACGAUGUCUCUUAUAUAUUGAUGUAGAGAAAAAUUUGAGGAUGCAUGAUUUGAUUCGAGAUAUGGGAAGAGAAAUUUUGCGGGCAGAAUCUUCUGUGGAAUUGGGAAAACGUAGUCGAUUGUGGCAUAGUGAAGAUGCAAAAACCGUGCUUAGGAACAAAUUGGUAAGUACUUUUGCAAUAAAUUUUUUUUUUGUUAAGUACAUGUAAAGAAAGAGUAUAUACGCAUAUCCGCAUAUAUAUAAUGUAUGACGUGCAUAGUAUAUUUGAAGAAAAAGAAGAAAAGAAAAGGCUUUCAUCCACUGUAAAUUGAAAGAGAAAAUACAUAAUUAUGUUGUAUGUCCUACCUUUCUAGUAGUUCAUUCAUCCAAUUCACGGCUCUGCUUUGUGUGAAUAUUAUCCUUUUUUUUUAUCUGUAACAGGGAACAGAAGCAGUUGAAGGCCUAACCUUAUUUUUGCCAAAAGAUUCUGAUGACGAGCAAAGCUUCAGUACGAAGCGUUUAAGAAGAUGUGGCGUCUGAAAUUUCUCAAGCUGGAAAAUGUAAAGUUGACUGGAAGCUACAAACAUCUUUCCAAGGAGUUAAGAUUGUUGUAUUGGGAUGGAUUUCCUCUUAAAGCCAUACCAGCAGAUUUUGAUCAACGAAACCUAGUUUUUAUGCAACUGACCAGCAGCAAGAUUGUACGAGUUUGGGAGGAUUCGAACCUGGUACGAUAUAAUUAUCAAUGUCCUUGUAAAUAUCAACAUCAGUCAUCAUCAUACAUUCUCUCCUUUAUUCAUUUGGAUUUUUAUUAUUGUUUUCUCUUUUUGAGUAACAGUUGCCUAAGAAGUUGAAGUAUCUCAUUCUUGGAGGCUGCCAUAACUUGACUAAAUUACCAGACUUUUCAAAACUCCCACUUCUCGAGGUAUUGAACCUCGGUGGCUGUAAGGGUUUGUGUGGGGCUUACCAUUUUUUAGCACAACUGAAGAUGAUUCAGGCAUUAAAUCUCAGCAACUGCAAUAUAACAGAUGGUGCCGUUCUCGAAAUAAUUGGGAGUCUAUCUUCUUUAAGAGCUUUAUAUCUAAGUGGGAAUGGUUUUAAUAGGCUACCCAUUCUCAGUGGCCUUUCUCAGCUUCAGUUUUUACGUCUAAAUCAUUGCACAAACCUUCAGGCAAUCCCAGAUUUGCCGAACAGUUUGAUUGAAUUGGAAGCGAAUAACUGCACUGCACUGGAAAUAAUGUCCGACUUUUCAGAGAUGUCGAAAAUGAGGAAAUUGGAACUGAAAGAAUGCCGCAAACUCAAAGAUAUUCCAAACUUGGAGAACUCAUUGGACUACAUGGUUUCAAUUCAUAUGGAAGGGUGUACCAGUCUCACUGGUACUUUUAAGGAGAACCUCCAAACGGUAUGGUACUCUCUAUCUCUCUCUGCUUUUUGUAUUGUUGCUUAUACUAACUUUGCACCCCAUUGUGUAGAAAAAUGCAUUUGGUGGAAUUUUUCUCUCUGGAAAUGAUAUUCCUCACCGGUUAGCCUACGUCGCGAGAGAGGAUGAAAUUGUCCAAUUUGUAGUGCCGCAAAGUAAUGAUUAUAUAAGAGGGUUGGCUUUGGGCAUCGUUUAUUCUUCGAAAACGACGAUUCUACUGGGUUUCUAUCCAUUGAUGUUGUUAAUCUUGCCCAGCGAACUAGAUUUCGCAUCUGGGCAAUGAAGGCCACCGUAACUGCUUCCCAUGAAGAUCAUCUUUGGUUGGGAAAUAUUUCAAACAAGAAGCUCAAUCUGAAAGGCGGCGACAUGGUUCUUGUAGGAGCAAAAUUUUAUGGAGAUAAAAGAAUUGAGGUGAACAAAACAGGAGUAGAUAUUGUAAAGUGGGAUUUGUCUGAUAGUGGUACUAAUUGGGACACCUAUGUGACUAAGCCAUAUAAGUCUAUUGAAGACGGUGCUAGGUCAAGAGUGUCUGAUGUAGGCACUGAUGCCGAUACACUAUUGAGCUAUUGCCACGUUUUCCUCUGCUACAAGACCCCAGAGGCCUGGCCAUGGCGCAACAAAGGCCCUGAGUUCGAUCCACUCACUAGGUUCUUCGCAUCUGCUCUCAAAGCUCGCAAGAACGACAUCACCGUUAAGGUCUAUUUUCCAGCUCAAUUCGUCGGCAUUUUUGAUUGCUUUUUCUUACCGUUUCUUAUUUUCUGGAGCUACUGAGUUCUGGUGUUGAGCUGAGUUGACUCCGUUACUCACUUUUUUCUUGGUUUUUGAUAGACGUUGCUAUCAGUAAUUGAAGGACACGAAGGAACUGAGUUUUCCGACGGGGAUGUGUUGAUUUUCCCACAAAUGAUCAAAUAUAGGUAAAUUCGCAUUGAUUUCUUGAGAUUUUUGUUUUGUAGUUGCUUUAAUUUUCAUCCGAAUUUAUAGGAUUUAGAUAAUUAACCAGUGGUUAAUUUUAAUCCGAUUUAUAACGAUGAACUGAAACCGUAGUUGAGUAUUUCUUAACAAUAAAACAGUAAUAAGAAUAAGUAUAUCAAGCAAGCUUGAGAGGUAAGGAAGAGAACAACAAUGUCGCACUGGAGUAAUCUGAAGCAAUAACUUAUAACUAUUCAACAUGGCACAUAAAAGCUUAACUUGGUGGAUGAAAAAAGUUCAUAUGGUGGUUUGAUUAUGGAGUACUGAGAGUGUUGUCUUACCUAUAGCUACAUUGAAGAAUGCCAUGCAAAAUUGCUUACGACGGAGAGACUAAAACGUGAGCCAGACGUUAACAAUUCUCUGUUCAAGCAGAGAAACAAUCAAAACAUACUAAGGUGCUAACAAAAUGCUACAUUAGUAAGAAUACUCCACUUGAGACAAAAUCUAGAGCUGUUAUUGGCAUUUAGAAAACUAAGUCGUAAUACCGUUAUUCGAAAAACGCUCGAGUGCUAUUAAAAAAUUGAGUCAUAUACUAUUGAAACUAAGUCGUAUACUAUUGAAACGAAUUAUUUCCUUACUACAACCACCACUUCCAAAUCAAAAGAUAAAGAAAUAACAAUAUACGACGCAUUGGCAGAAAAGUGUCACAUUACAUACCAUCAAAUGACAGCAACUAACUCCUGAUAUCAGCUGCUGGAAGUAAAACCUUGUCUGAUGCAAAACAACAAUUAAAUCGAAAAAGUACGUAAGUUGUAGUUAUAUUAUGACUGACUGUUUAUGUAAAAAUGCUUUAGACCUAACUUUCUCCAUCUGAAACUAAGGGAAAAUCGAGAUGGAUUCCAUUUCAUUAUUUCCCUUUGAACAUGUUCAUCUAUCUACAUCACGAAAAAGAAAAAUAUUUUUAAAAAAAUACAAAGUUUAAGGGAUGAGAAAUAAAGAAAAUUCAGAAAAAGGGAAGAUAUAAGAGUCGAAGAAGACAGAACCAAAACAUCCAAGACUCGCCCACCAAGGUAAUCAAGACAUCGAAGAUAGGACAAGGAUUGUCUGCCCUCCACUUUCGGUGCCCUUGCCUUCCUGUUUGUGUGGUCACGGUUAAGGCACGUCAACAUUUUAUAUUACUAUUCAUUUUUGUCUUAUUAUAUCUAUAAAAAAAAAUAAUAUAAAAUGUUGACGUGGUUUAACCGUGACCACACAAAAUAGAAAGGCACCGGAAGUGGAGGACAGACAAUCCUUGUCCUCCAAGAUAACAUCCAAGACUCACCCACGACCCAGCUAGGUAGCAAACACACACAUAAAGGCUAAAAAGGAUAGGGUCGUCAUCAUAUUAGGUGUUAGGUGAGUCUUGGAUGUUUUAGCUAUGGUCAACCUAAACCAAAAUCAAGUGACAAAUAAACAAAGGUAUGCAUAAAUCAUUUUCUUUCCGUUAACUUUAAUUAAUAAGAGUGGGUUUGGAUCUAUCUUAGUUUGCUUUCUGAUGUCAACAUGUAAGAGUAGAAUGUAGUACUACAAAGAGGAAGCCAUCAUUGCAAGCCUAUAUCAUGGCAAGCAAGGCAGAUUCACUCUCACCUCCAUAUACUACCAAAUCUUAGUCUCUAUGAUUUUGCCCGAGCUACCUAAUGUUGAAUAUAUAUCUGUUGAAUGUUCUAUAACAUCAACAUUAUAAAGGUUUCUAAUUGAAUCAUACAUUUAAAAUCCAAGCAUGAAAGCUUUACAAAGAUAAAUAAACAAAUGUAAAUAACUAAUUAGGCAGUACACAACAGAGAAGGGAGAGAGAGAGAGCAGUUGAAGGAGUGAGAAACAAAGCAGCAUACCAAGUGGAGGGUAGGCAGUUAAGCAUUGACAUUACGUAUGGAAUGCCUGAGAACUGAUUUGUGCUUCUGUUCCUCAUGAUCCUCUUAAAUGUAAUUCUACACAUUUCUAAACCAAAAUCACAAAGUAGAAUUCAAAGAAAUUUAAAGAAACCUAGUAAAGAUUCAAGCUUUUUGAUUAUCCAAAAGAUAUACAGAAUCCCAUGUAACAAAAACAAAUUUAUGACACAAAAGACAUGAUCUUUAGCCACAAAAAGCAAGAGAGAAAGAGAAAGAGAAAGAGAGAUAGAGAGAGAUUUUGCUUUUUGAACUAUGCAGAAUUUGCAGAGAAUCAAAAUAUCAUAAGUCGUUUAACAAAAUUAUAUUUUAGGCAAAAAGACAUCACCUUAGACCCCUAAUGAAGGAAUUUGAGAGAGAGGGCAUACGUGGUUGCCAAAAAAAGGAAGAGAGCAAUUCCAUGUCCUCUAAAAACGAAGAAACAGAACAUUAACAAAUACACACGCACAAAUCUCAAAGGAAAUUGGUAAGAAAUAAUCUCAAUUGAAAAAAUAAUCAGAAAACCAGAGAGGAAAGUUCUGAAAGUCAAUAAAAAACUUAGAACAAAACCUAGUGUGCAUGCAUUGUUUUUUUUUAUCUAUUUCAUCCAAAUCUUGAAACGAAAGAGAAAAGCCUUAAGAGAAUCAUGUAGUAGCCUUUUUAGCCUCCUAUUGUUAUGAUGUCCUCCUCGACUCAUUUGCCGAACGGUAAAUUCCCAACAGUAAAGAAUGAAUUGAAAAUAAUUUGUUACCUUUUGAAUAGUAAGGAUGCAGCAGACCCGGACAAAUCAACCCAUACCUCUAGCCCCUAUCCCUUACUCCCUCAAUCUCUCUCUAUACCCGUUCCCCUCAACCCUACCCUCUCUCUCUAUCUGCAACCAACGUUAGUGGACAGAACCCACCCCCCCUCUCUAGCUCCUACCCUUCCCAUCAACCCUCUGUCCACCCCCAACCCUUGCCAUCAACCCUCUUGUCUCUCAUUGUGCAAACCCUAAACUUGAUGUCACCGGACAAGGAUUGUCUGCCCUCCACUUCUGGUGCCCUCCUAUUUGUAUGGUCACGGUUAAGCCACGUCAACAUUUUAUAUUACUAUUCAUUUUUGUCUUAUUAUAUCUAUAAAAAAAUAUAAAAUGUUGACGUGGCUUAACCGUGACCACACAAAACAGGAGGGCACCGGAAGUGGAGUGCAGACAAUCCUUAUCCGAUGUCACCCUCUGCUUCUCUGCACAAUCUCUUGAACUAAAUAGAUAAUUAGAUAUAUGUUAGCUUCUAAAAUUAGUUCUAGAAAUUAAUAGAUAAUUAGAUACGUGUUAGCUUCUGAAAUUAGUUCUAAAAAUUGAAUUUAAUAGCUCAGUUUACGACUAAUUCCUUGCCUUACAAGAAAUUAAAGAGUUUUAGGUUAUUGUUUCCUGUAAAUUCCUUUUUGUAAUUUUGGAGUUGUUUUUGUUUGUUGAUCACAGGGGCUUGAAAGAGUCGGAUGUGGAUAGCUUUGUUGAUGAUGUCCUUGUGAAUGACAAACCAUGGGCUUUCGGAGUGCAAGAGCCGUUGACUGGCCCCCGUGUAUUUAUAUGCGCACAUAUUAGUGACAAUCUUUUUUCCGCACGUUUGGUCGCAGGUAUUCUCAUUUAUAAUUUCAAACAUGAGACUAAGCUGCGAGGAUUGACAGAUCAGGUAUUUGUUACUGCUUGCUUUCAAAUUGGAGGCCGCAAGUAUGCUAGAGAACUCAGGAUCUACAACCCAGAUUCAGAUGGAAGCAUGACAUGCCAUUGGUAAUAUCCGGAUCAUAACAGUUUAAAAUUUAUCGUAUUGGGAGCGAUGAAGGAGUUUGAAUAUUAUGUAUUAUUAAUUGCAGGUAUCCCUUCGUCACCUUUUCUGCCGUGUCGCAAUUGCUUGAUAAGCAUAUUGGGAAGGGAGAGAUUAUAGAACGACAUUGGAGGUUUGUACGUUUUUGGUUUUGCCUACUAUCUUUGGAUGAAAAUUUCAUUGGACGGAAGCUUGUGUUGUCGUAUUUUUCAAUUGUUGAUUAUGUCUGAUCUUGUAUGAUAGAUUAAUUGAUAUAGAGUUACAUUAACAUCGAGGAACUUUUGUGGAGAAAACACAAAAUAAUUGGAUAUAAUUGCAUUACCCUGUAUAUGUUUCUGGUUUGUAAUGUUGUUGUGAUUUGUUUAUUAAGCUUGAUCAUACAUGUUCUUGCUCAAUUGUUAUUGACGAAACUUAGAGUUGAAUCUUUAAAUAGCUUAACAUGAAAUUCAAUUUCAUUCCUUACAGGGGCCAAAUGGGAGCAUCUUCUGAUAAAGCUGAAGAAAUUAAUGACCGGGAGCUUCCAAAUGGAGAAGAAAAUAAGAAAAUCGAGGAGAAGCCACAAGAAAGGAAUCAGAUUCACCAAGAAAAGGGCAAUCAGAUUGAGAAUAAUGAGAACUUUUCAGGCUGUUGCCAAGGUGCUAAUAGUGAUGGAUUUACAUGUUGCGAAGAAGUAAGUUUGGAAGAGAACGGUGGAAGUGAGGAAAAAAAGCCGAAAGAAACCAGAGGGUCGUGUGCCAUAAAGGAUGCCUUACGGAAGCUGUCAAGCUUGAUUGGGAACUGGAAGCAAAGCAAUGUUCUCGCAGCUGCUGCUGUGGUUGGAGCAGUGGCAAUAGUGGUUGUGGCCUAUAGCUUUUACAGAAGGUCACGCUGAAGCGUACUCUAAUCCAUGUCGGGUUUUGCCACGGGUGUCAAUGCUUUAUUUUCUUUUUCAUUUUUUCUUUGUAGAAAGAUGGUAUAACUUCAAUUAAAUAAUCCUCGGAACCAUGCUCUUAAAUGAACGAAAUGUAAUAAACUAUUGAAUGGUUUUAUCUUGAUUGGGAUCUCUUAUGAGACUGCUUGCUAAAUGUUGAUGUGGUGUGUUCUAAGCUUGUGAUUAUUUUUGAUUUGCCUGCUGGACUUAUAAUUCAAUCGUCAAUUUUGUCAAAAUUUAUGGUAAUUUUCGUGAAAUAAAUCUCAAUUUUGUUGUUUAUAAAUUUCAAAAGAGAAAAAAAGGGCAUUGAUGUCCUCGUUUUUUGUUCAAUAAACGAGAUAAAUGACUAUGUGCUAACAUCUUAAUCUGCUUGAACUAUUUUUCAGAUAUACAACAUCGUUGUCAAGAAUUUUACUUUCGUUCUAGAAUAGUUUUUUUUUUUUUUUUUCUUAUUGUGGUUCUCAAACUCUCUCAUGUGGUAAUUCAAUUAUAUCUGUUAACUCAAUUUAUUUUUUUGUUGCAAGUGGUCCUUUACUAUAGUGGUGGAAAGAAGUUAAGCUCUUACAUGACGAUGUGAGUUUGAACCUCGUCGGUGGCUAAUUUAACAAAAUCUAUUUUUUGACCAAAAAAAAUUAAUUUUUCUCUUAAAUAUAGAGGGCAUAGCAAGAAUUUUGUACAUCCACCUCCUUUUUCCCAUAUUUUAGGUUGUGGGAUGAAUUUUAAAUUUAUCACCUCUACCUAACAGAAAAAUAGAUGAAGUCAAUGAAAAGGAUAUAAAAAACAAAGUCAUGCGAUAGCGAGUUUGAAGAUCAUAUAAAACAAAUAAAAUGUUUAAGAAUGAAAAUGAUGAUAAAUGACAAAUUCAGGGCAAUGUAAUUAACUCUAUUUAUUUUCUAUAUGUACAAAAUAUUAAAGGCAUUUCUAUGACACUUAUGUACACAAAAUUUUACUUUACUCUAUAUGCUGAUUUGUUCACUUUACCACCUAAACUUUUAUUAUGUGUCUCACUUUACCUUAUUUUUUUUAACUUUGUUAGUAUGAAAGGGAUGAAGAUCCAGAUGAGGUCGAGCAGUGGACAAGGAUCUUAAGGCUUCUGCAGAUUUGUGUGGCCGGAAUCUUAAAACCACAGCGGACAGGUAUAUUAAUUCUUCCUCUAAAUUUAAUUCCAACGUCUUGUUUAGCUUCUAAGACUCACUAAUCCACCAAAAAUAAGGAAAGUGAUGAUCCAACCCUUCAACAACCCACAUCUUCGUAAGGAUCAUUUAAUUCAAUGUUUAAAUUAUUGACUCGUUAUUUUUUAUAUUUUUUUGUUGUUAGUUCGCCUAAUCACCAAAUGAAUUGUGCAAUUCCUUCUCUUGUUUCGUUGAUAAUAUUUGCCUUACCGUUGAUUUCCAGCGGGAUGCUUGAUAUUUCUAAGUAUAUGGUAUGGUAUGGUUCUUGCAUACUGGGACCAAAAUAUUAGCAUGUCUUUUUGUCUUUUAAUGAAUACAAAGAUGUGUUUAAAAUAAAGAGCAGUAUAUCUGAACUAGGAGACGACAACUUUUCAAUGUGCCGGAAUACAACUCGGUACAUCAAGUGUCAUCAUAUAAGUGGUUGGAUUUUUUUUCUUUUUCGAAUUGUGUUUUCAGCACACUAAAAAAUCUCUCAUAAAAAAAGGUGAUAAAAUAUGUCAUAUGUUGUGGCCUAUAUUUAAUAGAUAGGUGCGGCAAAGAGAAGAAGAGAGAAUGGAGAAUAGGUUUGAGGAAUUGUGUGUUAAUUCCCCAGUCCUUGUGCCUUUAUUUAUAGUAAUUAGGAGGAGAGAAACUUGCUCUCCAAGUAAUACAAAGUAUAUUAGGAAAGAUCUUCUAGAUCCCAAAGGAUUCCUAUUUUAUCUCUACUUAGGAUUUACACAAUCACAUAUUGAUAAGAACAUAUGUCACAACACUCCCCCUUGAGUGUGCAAAUACUCAAGUAGAUGGCGCAUCAGAUCUUCAGGCAAAUGUAGAAGUAGUGGAUGAAAUCGUCUCGUUUGGUCGGCACAAGUAGCGAAUACGAGUCUCAAAAGACGGAAGAAUGCAGGAGUGGUAAAACUCACAAAACCUUACUAUGGCAAAACCCAAGGUGGGAGAAAAGCCCAUAGGCUAAGGAGAAAAGUGAGAAGUUGCAUUAAGUCAAAACUAUACGUCUUCUGGACGCAAGUAGAAGAGCUCACAAGGGUAUGAUCAGCCCAGGAUGGGUGCCUCGUUAAAACCUAGUUAGGUAGCAAAAACCCAGUGGGAAAAAUGCUCCUAAUCGUAGGGAAAAAGAGUACAUUAAGAUCAAGUGAGUAUACUUCUAGAUACUCCCCCUGAGUUUGACAAAACUUCCAAAUGAAACUACAAGCAUUGCAAAUGAGAAAGUUACGCAUACCAAUUCAUUGGACAAGCUUCUGGAAGGUAGACUUUGGUAGUGACUUUGUGUAGAUAUCGGUAAGGUUGUCUAGGAUUGGACUGCUUGACUUCAAUCUUCUGAUGCUCAUGCUGAUGUAGACACAAUAUGCUUGGUGUUGACUUUGUUGGAUGUAUCAUGAUCUGGUCGAUACAUACAGCGUUGUAUUCAUGGAUCGUUGUUGGGACUCAACGAUGGUUGAAAAUCGCAAGGAUUUUGAAUAUGCUCAACAAGAAUUCUCGACCAUAUCUCUCACGUGAUGAGACAUAGUGAGUCUUGGAGCGAUUCAAAGGUUUCGCAACAAAAGGUCUCUCUAGUUAACCUCCAAGAUAUUGCGGUGUUCCUUAAUGGUAAAGACAUAACCAUGCGGGAACGUACCUUGUGCGGUCAGAUAAAUGGUCUGAUUCAGCGAAUCCCACAAGGUAGGCAUCAUUCCGAAGAUCAAGGGGGUGUGAUCUAUUCUGAGAUGCAUAGGGAAUAAGCCCAAAUCCGUAGUAACAGAAAAACGUCUUUAACACCAAAUUUGGUGGUGGCGUGUUAGGCGCAGUGCUGCUUUAUGCCAAAAGAUUAUCAGCACAUAAGAUGUCUGAUCUAGUGCAUUUGAGCUAAGUACAACAAACGCCAAUGGUACUUAGAUAUGGCUGCCUCACGUUCCAAUAAGGAACCUUAUGCUCCAUACCCUCCGUAAAGGUCUCAUUUGCAUCUAGCAUAUAGAUGAUCAGGAUAUACUCAGACGUAACACCUUCUGGGUCUAGUUUGAGUGGUGGACCAGAAUACCAUCAAAACUAGCUCGAAACUUCAGGUCGAGGUAAUGUCAAGUUCUCCCAAGAUCAUUCAUCUUAUAGUCCGAUAUGCGAGUUAAUUUUCUCAACUUUAGCAAUUUCGGAUUUUAUACACGCAGGGGCAUAUAUCCCUAACUGAUCAAAUAUUCACUUAGACGCGUAUACCACAUCUGCCCGGAUAGUUCUGCAUCCGUAAAGUGAAGGCCGCUUGAGAAUCAAGAAGAUGUUCUUGUGGUCUAGAACUAUUUGAAUCAGUACAUCUAAGUCCUUUGGAAACUCCAUGUAGGUUCAUAUCACGAUCCCAGAGAUACUACAACCACGUUUGUAAUGCUGCGAUGAAUCAUAUGGCGUAUGAGAGAAACCUUGCGCCACAAGGCGUCAUAUUGCACUAUUUCAUUCAUCUCAUUCGUCAUAGAUUGAUUCUUUUAGUUGACCAAUCAGUUCUACGUUGAUAUUAAUCAACGGAACGCGGUUCGUUAACGUCGCUUUUCAUUUAUGUCGGUACCAUAUAAAUGAAACAUCAUUUAUGAUAAUCUCAUUCCAAUUCCAUAUCUCAUCCAAACUAGUAUACUGGACCAAGAACUUCAGGUCUCGGGAGUAAUCCGGAUUUAAUCUCAUGAGAUGAAAAGGUCUGAGACAGCGAUCGAGGGGCGGAUUCAUUCGUGCCACGUUCCUCCUCUUUUGGGGAGGUGAAUCCUCGAACCGAGUGAUCUACCAUGCUUAUGGCAUAAGAUAGAUUGAUUGGCUAGCCGCCAAUGUACGAGGGUCGGCCAUAAUUGUGGCUUUCCUACUUUCAGGAUAAAGGUCCGAAGUACAUUUGGUACACAUCUUUGCAGGCAUAUUUGCAGCUGGUAUAUGUGAUCUCGUCACUUUUUCUAGAUCAGAGGAAAUGUCUGGUUAAACUCUGACGAUCUAGAUUGGGAUCGAUAUGAGACAUAGUGGGGACGUCCACGAUAAUUCGCGUCGUUCUUUAGGAACGUUGACGUGCUUAUCUCCCCCUAACGACGGGAAGAAUGUCUCAUAAAAGUGACAAUUCGCAGAAUGAGCGGUAAAGAGAUCGCCUGUCAAAGGUUAUGCAGUAACGAAUAUUAGAAGGAGAAUCAUAACCGACAUAGAUUUCCAUCCUUCCUUGAGGACCCCUUUGUUUUUGUGUACGUAAGGGCGGCGCAAAAUGGCACAUAGACCGCACAACCAAAGACGCGCAGAUGCGAUAUGUCGGGUUCGUAUCUGGUAACCAACUGACACGCGCUUUAUAAGGUUGGGUCGUGACGGGCCUCAGGCAGACCAACAUGGUUGCUUGCAAUAUUGCAUGGCCCCAAGCAGAGGUCGGGAACUGUGGUACGUAUGACCAGUCGACCACGCAAUCAUUUGAAGGCGUUUAAUGAAUACUUCUGCUGGGUCGUUCUAGGUAUGAACAUGGGACUGGAUGUUCAACUUUCAAAAACCCAACCGACAUGCAAUAUCCAUCGAGAUUUAAAUUGUUCGAUGUAAAUGUCGAUGUAAAUUCUCCAACUUAUCCAAUCAAAUAAAUUUGAUCAGAUAAUCAGGGUGGUGAGCCCUGAGCUUGUUAAUCUGAGCUACCAGUGUGGAGAAUGCAACUUGUGGACAACAACCACACGUGUGACAAACGUGUAGAAGCAUCAACCAAUACUGUUGAUGCACAAAAUCAGCGAAGACUUUGGUACAACAGAAAGUGUCAGGUUUUGUGACCUUCGCUUGGUUGCUUCGGUCACUAGUGAGGAUAAGUACGUAAAUGAAUAGAGAUAGAGAAGCAAACACAGGAUGUACGUGGUUCACCCAGAUUGGCUACGUCCACGGAGUCGAGGAGUUCUCAUUAAUUGUGAAGGGUUUACACAAAUACAUAGGUUCAAGCUCUGGUUUAGUGAGUUCUAGUGAAUAGUUUAGUACAAAAUGACAUUAGAAAUUAUUGUGGGAGUAUGACCUCUAUUUAUAGAAGAGAGUUUCUAGUUUUGUUCUGACAUUGACACGUGUCGUGUUGUAAUUGGCUUCUGAUGUUGACACGUGUCGUGUUGUGGUUGGCUUCUGAUGUCGACACGUGUCGCAUUGUGAUUGGCCUCCCGGUUGAAGGGAAGCUCUUCUGGAUCCUUGAUGGUAUAACGUUGACCGGUGCUCAGUAGUUUCGGGAUUGGUCAAGUAUGGUACAAACAGUGCUCCCCUAAGUUCCCGAGUGAGGGAAGCUCCUCGGUUGGGGACUUGCAAGAUCCAAGCCGCUGAGUAAUCACGAAACUUCUAAGUACCGAGGUGUGGUAUCGUCUUCACUUGCCUUAUCUUUCUCAUAGGUAGAUGUGGCAUCUUCUCUGGAAGUACGCUUCCUCCAUUCAGGGGUGGUGUCCUUAACCGGGGGAGAUGCACAAGGUAAUGUAUCAAUUUCACUUGAAGCUUACUUGUAGUUUUGGGCUUGGUCAAGUGCGAUACAAACCCUAUAGUAGGAGUCCCCCAAGUCGCCGAGCUAGGAGAUCUGCCGAAAGAGGUGACAGACAAGGUAAGCAGUCAAACUUCCAAGCAAGCAACCCAGGAUCGGAGGUUCGUCUUCGGCUUCCGGUUGAUUGUUCUCCUUUUCCUUGUCUCUCAUUCAGCUGCCAGGAUAAGGAGAAACAAAUGGAGAAGAGGUGAUAUGAGAUACUUUUGCUUUUGAAGAAGUAACUUUCCACAGGCUAAUUCUUGAACUGUGCCGGAGGGUUUUUUGGUUCCCUUCAGAGUAUAAGGCCGACUUAAGAAUUUGAGGGUCAAAACAAGUCCAUCAAAUCUAGAGUACGUUCGACCUUGAUGAUAUGGGAUACUGUUGCUGUUGACGGAAUAGUGAAUGUGGUAUGGAAAGGUGUCGUGAUGUAGUGAUCUGUUUCAGCUCAUCGUUGACCCUUCUGCUUCAAUCUUUUGCAUGGCAGAAGUGGUGUGCAACCUUUGCAUUUAAAUGGUCCUUCAGAACAUUCCUUCAUAGUGACUCAUCCAUGCUUGGCAGCUUCAGUGUAAAGAGCCAAUAUCUGAUCAACUGUCAUGAGGUAUUUGCCGGUGGAAUUCGUGAUCUUGACAGCAGUUGAGGAUGAGUACUCGAGAGCAAUGCUAAGUAAGCAACCAGGCAAAGGUUCCAGGCAGUCAGUUCCAGAUUGGAGGUUUGAUUUCAGGUUCCGACUGACUGCUCUCUUUCUCCUUGUCCUGCAGGUGUGGACAAGGACAAAGACAAGGAUAAGGAGAAAGCAUGAUAUGGGAUACUCUUGCUUUCAACCUUGAUGAUAUGGGAUACUCUUGUUUUUGGUGUGGCUUAUUUGCUGAGGUAUUAUCGGGGGGAAAUAAAGCUGAGUAUUUCGAGAGGUUAUGUUGAGGGUGCCUUCUCGAAUGCGAGAAAGGGUUGAGCAUUUUUGCAGGUUUGCCUGUCCGUUGAGGAGGGAGGUCGAUGUAUAUAGGGAUUUCCCAAUAACAAGUAGUAAUGCUAUUCCUUUACCCUUCUUGGUCACAGUAAUGUAGUGGGAGCUGCCAGCUUCACGUGUUUUAACUUUGUCAGAGCACUUUGAAAAAGUGGUAUGUGGUAUCUGGAAAGCUGAUGUUACGUGUGAAGAUUACAGACAAGCUUUAUCUAAGGAAAUCUGGCUCUCGAAGUUCUGAGAGUUGUGCCUCUUCUGUUUUCGAACAAGCAAUCCCGUCGAGGAUCUGACUCUCGAGAUUCGGAAAGCGGUGCUACUUCGGUUUUUGAGAAAGUAAUUAUGUUGGGAGUCUUUUCUCGAAUGUGAGUAAAGGUCGGACGUUCUUGCCAACCUGUCCUGCCGCAAAAUACGGAGGUCGACACACAUAGGGACUUUCCAGUUGUCAAGCAGUGGUGCUGUUCCUUUACCCUUGUGGGUAAUAGUAGGGUAGCUGGAACUUCGAAAUUCUCGUGCCUAAACUUUGUCAGAGAUCUUUGACAAAGUUAUAUGUGGUACCCGAGGAGUUGAUGGUGCAUGUGGAGAGCGGUGAUUUGAACAGUAAGAUUCACGUGCUUUCUACUUCACCAGAAAUCUUCGACAGAUUGCCCGUAAUUUCCGCAAAGCUGAGUGUGCAUGUGACAGGUGCUGACGAGGCUGAAAAAGCAGGUGCUUCUUCGAUUUCUGAGAUCGGCCCUCGUGGUCUCUGAGCAGCCCAGCUUUUGAGAAAGCAAAUGCCUCUUCGAUUUCUGAAGCUCCGUCGAGUGCAGAUUUUUAUAGAGGUUGGCAUUAAGUUCCACAGCACACUUGAAUCUCUACCAGUAGAAGCUCCCUUCUUGCACUUCUAAGAUCUUGAUUUGUCUGACCUCUUCCCUCUUCAACACAUUUUAAAAUGUCUGGACCCUCCGACCGUCGUUUUGACUUGAACCUUGGAGAAGAGACAGCCACGCCUUCUCCAGACAACAUAUGGCGCCCAUCCUUCAUAUCCCCUACUGGUCCUCUUACCGUUGGGGAUUCUGUGAUGAAGAAUGAUAUGACCGCAGUGGUGGCCAGGAACCUUCUCACUCCCAAAGAUAACAGACUACUUUCCAAACGGUCUGAUGAGUUGGCUGUUAAGGACUCUCUGGCUCUUAGUGUUCAGUGUGCAGGUUCUGUGUCUAAUAUGGCCCAACGCCUAUUUGCUAGAACCCGCCAAGUUGAAUCAUUGGCUGCUGAAGUGAUGAGUCUCAAACAGGAGAUUAGAGGGCUCAAGCAUGAGAAUAAACAGUUGCACCGGCUCGCCCAUGACUAUGCUACGAACAUGAAGAUGAAGCUUGACCAGAUGAAGGAAUCUGAUGGUAAGGUUUUACUUGAUCAUCAGCGGUUUGUGGGUUUGUUCCAAAGGCAUUUAUUGCCUUCGUCCUCUGGGGCUGUACCUGGUAAUGAAGCUUCAAAUGAUGAACCUCCAAUGCCUCCUCCUUCUGGGGUUUUGUCAAGUACUGAGGCUCCGGAUAACCACCCUCCGGUGCUUUCUCUUUCUGGGGCUCUACCGACUGCUGAGACUUCCCCUAAGCAACCUUUGUGAAGGCUCCCUUUUGUUUGUUUAUUUUGACUCAUGUAUAUGUACAUAUUUGUGGCUUUAUCGAAAAUAUUAAUAAAUAAGCUUUGCUCCAUUUCAACAUAUUGUGUUAAAUACACCAAAGCAUUCUUCAGAAAGUUCUCUGAAUUUUUUUUUUCUUUUGUCGAAACUUGUAUUGUUGAAGCUUUGUGAGUGAAGCAUGUAGUUUGAGGUAGUGUUCCCUUAAUUUCCUGAGUGAGGAAAACUUCUCGGUUGGAGACUUGAAAAAUCCAAGUCACUGAGUGGUUGUGAGACUUCCGAGUAUCAGGGUGCAGUAGCAUAUGGUGGGAGUCCCCCAAGUCUUCAGGCGAGGAGAGUUGCCGAAUGAGAUGUCUUGCUUGCUACUAAUAUGUCAAAGUAACGAAGCCUUGUUUUGAUGUCACACCUUCAUAUAUGCCUUAUCCAAAAAUAUUUCAAGCUAGGUUUAGCUUUGGGAGGGCCCAAAAUUUUUGUGUAGCCCAAAACUGCUCAUUUGUUUGCAAGCCCACGAAAAGAAGGGAUCCAGUGCCUUUGUUCAUUUGUUAUUUGUGUGGCAAGCCCAAAGAGGAGAACAUGUUUGUGCCCACUCCCCUUUAUUUAGUUUUUUGUGAAGCCCAAUGUAUUCUUGCUGCAUAUUGGGAGGUAGAUAAAUAAUAACAAUGAGACUCAAAGUCUCAUCCCUUUGCCUGUGUCUUCUUCCCCAUUUCCCCGGACUUUGUUCAAUAUGGCACUGUGCACUUAUUCCUUUUGUCCGUCACUUUUGGUGGCUUUUGGCUAUUCUUUUGACUGGCCUUUUUCUUUCUUUGCUGGAAAGGUCUUCAUGUCCUCACAAAAAUCUGAAUGAGUCCAAAGGCAUGAUGAAGGAAAGUGGGUGUUGGAGCCAAGGAAGGGAAGGAAGGAGUUAACGGAGAGGGUGCAGUAGCUCUGCAAUAAAACAUCAUGUUCUGUAGCUCAAAUCGCAAGGUUGUCUUCAUGAAAGUUGUUCCUUAGCUUGUGAACUACAACAUAUCCGAAUUUGAGAGCCAUCGGAGUAGUACAACUCCAGAUAUUCAGGUAUGUUGAGUAAGUGUUCAUCAUUUUGCGGUUAACCCGUCAGACUUAUUGUGAGCUUCGAAACUUCAUUUUGUCUUGUUCAGAUCAACAUACUUUCUUCAUCAAAGUUGUUUCUGACCUUGUGAAAUACAACAUAUCCAAUUUUGAGGUUCAUCGGAGUAGUACAACUCCAGAUAUUCAGGUAUGAUGAGUAACUGUGCAUCAAUUUUCUGUGAACCCGUCAGACUUAUUGUGAGCUUCAAAAAUUCAUUUUUUCGUGUUCAGAUCAACAUACUUUCUUCAACAAAGUUGUUUCUUAUCGUCUCUUUCAUGACAUAUCAAAAAUUCAGAAUGAACUAACGGUUAAAUAUUUCCAGAUCUUCGAAACAUCACAGCAGCUUUUAAAUUUGCGGGAAUCCGACUGUCAUGUUGGGAGCCUCAACACUUUAAUUUCCGUAGCUCAAACAGAAACGAUUCCUUCUUGAAAGUUGUUCAUCUGCUCAAGAACUAUAAGGUGUCCAAAAUUCAGCUCCAUUGGAGAAGAGCAGAGGUUGCAGAAAUUUGAUAGAUGAAAGGAGGCGGAAGAGGAAGAGAGGGAAAAAGGUUGCUUGGGUUGGAUUUCUAGUUAACUUGGGACUUUGGCUUGUUGUUUGAUGUAUUAUAAUAUAUUUGGAAACAUAUACAUAAUUGCCUGUUUGUUGAUGACAGGGAUGUUGUGGGUGUAGAACAAAACAAAUGUUUGUGUUGACCCCUGUGUUGUUGUACAAGUUCAAAAGAAUAUUGGUUGUGUGAACAAAAUUUGUUUAUUUGCCACAAGGUUUUGUGUUUGGAAAAUAGUUGAAUAGGUAAGGUUUAUUGACUAUAAAUUUGUGCUUGGGUAGAUAGCUUGACUAGUGAAGAGCUUUGGUGUUGAAGCUUCAUAGGUGAAGCUUUGGUGUUGAAGCUUUAUAGGUGAAGCUUUGGUUGGCGAAGCUUUAUAGGUGAAGCUUUGGUGGUGAAGCUUUAUAGGUGAAGCUUUGGGGUUGAAGCUUUAUAGGUGAAGCUUUGGUGGUGAAGCUUUAUAGGUGAAGCUUUAUAGGUGAAGCUUUAUAGGUGAAGCUUUGGUGGUGAAGCUUUAUAGGUGAAGCUUUGAUGUUGACACCAUAAAUUGAUUGUGCUUCGCACUAUCUUGAUGAACAUAGUGCGAAGCUUUUGAGAUUGAUAUUUGUCCUCCAUUGAUGAAGCUUUUGUUGGCACCAUAAAUUGAUUGUGCUUCGCACUAUCUUGAUGAACAUAGUGCGAAGCUUUUGAGAUUGGGAGUUGAAUCCCAUUGAUGAAGCUGUUCCCCCUUCCCUUUUUUUUUUUUUUGUUUUUUUUUUUUUGUUUUUUUUUUUUUUUUUUUGUUUGUUUUUUUUUUUAUUUUUUUUUUGUUUUGUUUUUUUUUGUUUUGUUUUUUGUUUUUUUUUUUUGUUUUUUUUUUUUUUUUUUUUUUUUUUUUUUUUUUGGUUUUUUUUUUUUUUUUUUUCGGUUUUAUUUAUUUAUUUAUUUAUUUAUUUUUUUUUUUUUUUUUUUGAGGGGGGAACUGAAACAUUUGAAAUUUGAAACUCCUUAAUGUUAGAAGUUUGAAGAUCCUCCAUGUGGGGCUUUCUCAUGGUUUGAAUUUGAAUUUUGAAUGUUAAUAGCCAUGUUGAACUAUACAUAAGAAGGAUAAGUUCUCAUUCUUUACCUUACCUUCAUUUGCUCAUCUUGUAGGGAUUUUUUAAGACAAAGUGCUUUUUACUUGAGAGGGAUUCUAGCAUUGCUUUGCUGCACCAUCUUCAGGUUGAUAGUCUUCUCCACUACAUUGGAUGUUUUCCUUUUUGUUGAAUUGUUGGAAUGUUCAUGUAUUUUGUGACGAACAUAAUGAACUAGUUGAGCUGUUCUUCAUGCCCUGUGAGCUUCCUUAUGUUUUGAUCCUUCAUGUAGUAAUAGAGUUUGUUUCUGUUUGUUGUAGAUGUCGGAGUCUGGAAGUCUUAGUGAUAAGGGCUCCCCUAGCUCGAGCUCUAGGUUUGAGCCUGCAAUGUCGGGGUCUUCAUGGCCUUUGUUAGAGUCUUGUACAAAAGAAACGUUGGAUGAUCCUCACAAUUGUCAAACCUUAGCCAAUAUUGGUUCUUCCUCCAUGUUAGUGGGUGAGGGGGUUGUUUGUGACGCCAUACCCAUAUGUCGUUCUGAUCCUCACCAUUGUCAAACCUUAGCCGAGAUUGGUUCUUCCUCCAUACGAAUGGGUGAGGGGGUUGUUUGUGAUGCCAUACCCAUAUUUCGCUCUGAAUUCACAGCGGACCAUUUAGAAAAUAACUUGUUAGAUAGCGAAAAGCAGCUUGAGGCCCUAAGGCAAUCAUGUAGUAUCCCCCGUAGUGUAGGAAUACGUUUGGUGCGUUGUGAAGAAUUGCCUUCGGAGCCGCCCAAGGGUCAUGUUAUGUUCUAUACCCAGACAUUAAUGACCUUGGGGGUAAAUUUACCUUUGCAUCCGUGGUUGCAACGAAUGCUGGCUUUUAUUGGUUAUGCACCUGGGCAACUCAACCCUGGUUUCUGGGAUACCUUGAUCGGGUUUUAUAUUAUUUGGAUGGAGUGUGGAUUAGGUGAGCCUUCCUUCCAUCAGUGGCGCUACUGUUAUAAGAUGCGCCCGGUGAAAGCAUGUACUGGUUAUGCUGAAUGUGCAUGUCGGAGGGAGAGAGAGCGUGUUGUCUUUAAUAAGAGAAAGUCGUAUUGCACAUGGAAGAAACGUUGGUGCUUUCUUUAUAAUGAUUGGGAGCAUGCUAAGGGUGUCACGCCUGAGCGACGUGUUCCUACUCACUUCCAGACUGUAGGUUGUAAUGUAUCCAUUUUUCUCAUUAUUUGCUAUUGUUGUGAUUUUCUCUGGCUUCUAAGAUUUUUCUUCAUGCAGUGACACGAGGCACCAUCAAACUCUCCGGACAGGAGCUAGCUGAUGUAGAGAAAGUGCUGAGGGUGCCGAAAGAAGAUAGAUACUUGGGUAAGCUACGUCCCUUGUUUUGAAAGUACGGUUUCCAGCCCUUAGUUUCCGAGUGCCAAAGACGAGCGAGUAAGUUGUAUCCUCACUUGAUCCUUGUUCUUCCCUUUUUUUUUUUUUUUUUUUUUUUUUUAUAUAUAAUGUGGUAUUCCUUACUUUGAUUUUCCUUGUUCAGUGGAGAAGGUGGGCAAGAAAGUGGAGACUAGCACCAAGAAAAGGAGAGCGCCCAUGUUAGUUCCUUCAGAAGACAUCCUGUUUCACAAGGAAGCUCGCAAGCACCGAGUGAGACCAAUUAUUAAAACUAAGUCUCGAGAAGAAAUCCUCAAGGUUGCUGCCUCGAAGAAAGCUGAAGCUGAGGCCAUUGGAUGUGCUGCUGCCAUAGUUGCUGGGGAAGAUAGGCGAUUGCUGCCUCCUCUUCCUAUUAUUAAUCCCAUCUUUCCUCCAGGUAGGGAACACAUUGGGCAGGAAGGUGAUCCUAGUUUUAGCAGCAAGGGUAAAGAUAAGGAAGAGGUUGGCAGUGUCCCUUGGAAGGAUUUGAAGGUUGCCAUGCGGCCAAAGGACUUUGGGUAUAUCAACAAUUGUCUGGCAGGGCGUCGAUUCACUUUCGAUGAGCUCGGAGAGCCCCUAGCUAAAGAUGAAUCGGAUUGCGACCGGAUGUUGAAGCUGUCUUCAUAUGUGAGUGUUACUUUAUCAUUCCCUUGUUUUCUCCUCUUUAUUAGCAUUAUUUUAGUAGUGAUGAUUGUCUUGUCAUGCAGGUCAUGGCUGAGUAUCACGACAGACUGCGAGAGGCUGAACGGUGCAAGGUGAAAUUGAAAGAGAAUAAGCAGCUUGUGAAUGAUGCCAGGAAGACGAGCAAAGCUUUAGCUGAGGCCAUCCAAGUCAAGGAUCAACAUUUUGAGAGUUUGAGAGGCGGAAUGGUGAGAACUUGAGACUCAAGGUACAGUUGGAAGCAACUAAGAAACAGUUGGAGACAACUAUGCUCGAGGUUUCCAAGGUUAAAGGGGAGUUGGAUAGUGCCUUGGUUGAGGUUUCUGAGCUGAAGAGUAGUAUCCCGGCUGAGAAGGAAGCUGCUGUGAAUGAGUUCUUGGGUUCCCAGGCCUUUCUCCAUGUCCUUAGACCUCGCUGUGCCCGGGAAGUGCACUUUGAAAAAAGAAAGUGGAUGGCUGUCCUUGAUCGUUAUGAUGAUGGAAGUGUUCUUCGAAAAUACCGUGAAGAAAUAGAUGAGCAUCAUCGAAAAGGCGAAACCUUCGACCUUGCAGUUUAUUCGAGCAGUGCAGAUGAGUCUAGCGAUGAUGCUAGUGCUGAUGAGCAGGGUCAUCAGAGUGAUAUGAUCAGGGGUUCAACCUUAGAUGAGGAUGACUAGAAGUGCUUUCACUUUCUGCAUGUACUCUGCCUGCACUAGUUUGUUGUUUGUAUGGCAUGUGCCAUGUUAUAAGCUCGAGGGUUUUCUUUUUUUUUGGUAUGUUUAUGAGUGUUUGCAUUAUCAAGCAAGUGUUUGUAUUAUCAAGCUUCGAGUGUUUGUAUUAUCAAGCUUCAAUUGUUUGCCCUAUCAUUGAUGAAUGUUUGGCUAUGUUUGCAUAGAUCCUUUGUAUAGUCUUGUUGACAUAUACCUAGAUUUUAUUUUGUAUUGGAAACAUGUGCGUUGAAGCUUCAACACUUGAGUGUUUCAUUGCUCAGAAUGUAAAAGAGUUUAGGGCCGAGUUGGCUAAAUCACCUCUUUAUUGAAUUCAUACCAAAUGGUCUUUUGUUACAUAGGAUGCCGAACGGCUGUAGCUUAACACUUGUACAAUGUAAGUCUAUUUGUAAUAGUACUUCAAGUGGUCAGCAUUCCAUGGAUGGCCAAGGGUCUUGCCGUCAGAGCUUCUGAGCUUGUAGGAGCCAAGGCGGCUGAUGCCGACGACCUCGAACGGUCCGUCCCAGUUAGGACUGAGUGUUCCUUCACUCGGGACUCUAUCACAGAGUAAUCUUUUCUUCAGUACCCAGUCUCCCACUUUGAAAGAGCGAGGUUUGACCUUUGAGUCGUAGUAGUUGGAGAUGCGUUGCUUGUAGGCGACAUUCCUCAGGUGAGCCUGAUUUCUGUGUUCCUCGACUAGAUCCAGGUUGAGGGUGAGUUGCUUGUCAUUCUCACUCUGUAUGUAGUUCUGGAUUCGGUAUGUUGCUUGCUCAAGCUCAACCGGGACAACUGCUUCUGUACCAAAAGCAAGUGAGAAUGGAGUUUCUCCUGUGGAAGUCCGAUAUGAAGUGCGGUAUGACCAAAGAACUUGAGGUACGAAUUCUGGCCAACAACCUUUAGCUUUGUCCAAGCUAGUUUUCAGAGUGCGCUUGAUUAUUUUGUUAACGGCCUCGACUUGUCCAUUAGACUGGGGAUGGGCUGGAGAGGUAAAACAUAAGUUGAUGUUGAACUUAGAGCAAAACAUCUUGAACUUCUUGUUGUCAAACUGCCGCCCAUUGUCCGUGACUAUCGCAUUGGGAAUGCCGAAUCUGCAGAGGAUGUUCUUCCAUACGAAGUCCUCUAUUUUUCCCUCAGUAAUGGUUGCCAAGGGUUCUACUUCAGCCCACUUUGUGAAGUAGUCAACUGCAACGAUUGCAUAGCGGACCUUGCCUUUCCCUGCAGGCAUUGGGCCGAUCAAAUCAAGUCCCCAUUGGGCAAAGGGCCAAGGGCUGAUCAUAGGAGUGAGCGGCUCGAGAGGGGAGUGAGGGAUAGUUGCGUAGCGUUGACACUUAUCACAUGAGCGUGAUAUUCUGAUGGCAUCCUGGUGGAGUGUUGGCCAAUAGUAUCCUUGGCGAAAAGUCUUGUGUGCUAGGGAUCGAGACCCAGCAUGAUCUCCGCAGACUCCUUCAUGUAUUUCCCGAAGGACAAUUUCCGCCUCCACAAAUGUAAGGCAUCUUAGGUAUGGCAGGGUAAAACUGCGCUUGUAGAGUUGGUCAUUAAUGAUCAGGUAGCGGGCAGACUUGUAUCGGAUCUGCUUAGCUUGGACUUUGUCAUUUGGGAGGGUGCCAUGAGCAAGGAAUUUAUAAAUUGGGGUGAUCCAACUAUCUCCUUGCUGUAAAUUGCACACUUCCAUGACCAUGGUGCUUGGUGCUGCCAACAAUUCGACAUGAAUUUUUCUCCCAAUCUUGUCUUCUACUGCCGAGGCGAGGCGAGCUAAAGCGUCUGCAUGACUGUUUGCCGCUUGAGGAACUUGGGUGAUCUGGUAGUGGAAGUGCUUGAGCAAAAGUCGUGUUUGCGCAAGAUAUGCUGCCAUGGAGCUAUCCUUAGCAUCAAAGUUGUUCGUGACUUGGUUGACCACUAAUUGAGAGUCACUGAAGAUAUCAAUUCGUUUAACCCCGAGGUGCUUGGCCAAACGUAAGCCUGCUAGAAGGGCUUCGUAUUCGGCCUCGUUGUUUGAUGCCUUGAAUUUGAAACGAAGAGCGUAUUCCAUCGCCACUUUGUCGGGGGUAGUGAGGACUAAUCCUGCUCCGCAGCCUUGUUGGUUGGAUGAGCCAUCAACAUACAGACUCCAUGCUGGGGUUGUUGAUUCUAUCUUCUGAGCUUCCGAUGGUAAUGAAGCUACUGCUUCAGGUGUAGAAGCAAUGUCAACAGGAUAUGUGAAGUCGGCUAUGAAAUCUGCUACAACCUGACCCUUUUCGGCUGGUUUUGGUUGGUAGGAGAUGUCAAACUCACCCAAUGCUAUCGCCCAUUUGAUCAUUCGUCCAGACGUGUCAGGACUCUGGAGUAUCUGUCGAAGAGGGUGAUUGGUAAACACGAUGAUGGCGUGUGCUUGGAAAUAAGGGCGAAGUUUUCGAGCAGACAUAACCAAUGCUAGAGCUAAUUUCUCAAUGUUGGAGUAUCGUGUCUCCGCAUCUUGUAGGGCCUUGCUAGCGUAGUAAACGGGCCGUUCGACACCACUGUCCUUUCGAAUAAGAACAGAACUGACUGCUGAAGCCGAAACCGAUAGAUAGAUAAUGAGAGUGUCACCAAUUUCUGGUUUGGAGAGCAGAGGGGCUUUACUCAUGUAUUCUUUGAGGUUCCUGAAUGCCUUGGCACAUUCCUCCGUCCAUGUAAUGUACUUCUUAUUUCCCUUGAGUGCUUUGAAGAAAUGAGCACAUCUGUCUGUGGCCUUAGAGAUGAAUCUGGUUAAGGCUGCCACCUUGCCAGUAAGGCUUUGGAUAUCUUUUGAAGUUACGGGCUCUUUCAUGUCGAGGAUUGCUUUGAUCUUUUCGGGGUUAGCUUCAAUACCUCGUUGGCUAAUCAUGAAUCCUAAGAAUUUGCCAGAACCCACGCCGAAGGCACAUUUAUUGGGGUUCAACCUCAUUCGAUACAUCUUUAGAAUGGUGAAAGUUUCAGAUAGGUUGGUGAUGUGUUGGUCAGCAUGUUUGCUCUUGACUAGCAUCUCAUCAACGUAAACUUCCAUGCUCUUCCCAAUCUGUUCGGCGAACAUUGAAUUGACCAGUCUCUGAUAAGUUGCUCCUGCAUUCUUUAGGCCGAAAGGCAUGACCUUAUAGCAAUACAGUCCCCUGUCAGUAGUGAAAGCCGUGUGUUCUUGGUCUGAGGGGUUCAUGAGGAUUUGGUUGUAUCCUGAAUAAGCGUCCAUGAAGCUCAAGAGCUCACACCCUGCCGUAGAGUCUAUAAGUCUAUCAAUGAGAGGAAGAGGGAAACUAUCCUUCGGGCAUCCUUUGUUUAGGUCGGUGUAGUCGACACACAUUCUCCACAAGACCUUUUGAAGCAGGAGACUUUCCUUGGUCGGAUUUUUCUUAACAAGGACAACAUUUGCUACCCAUGUUGGGUAAUUGACUUCACGGACGAAGCCUAUGUCCUUGAGUUUUUCAACUUCUGCUUUCAUCGCCUCGUAUCGCUCAACAUCAUAAGAUCUUCGCCUCUGUUUUACUGGUUUGGUCUUGGGAUCAAUACUCAAGUGGUGACAGAUGAUAUCGGGAGAGAUGCCCGGCAUAUCUUUAUAUGACCAAGCGAAGACCUCGGCGUUCUCUUGCAAAAAGGAGAUCAGCGACAACCGAAGGGGUGGUGACAAAGUAGUGCCAAUCUUCACCAUGCGGUCUGGAUGGUCUUUGGAGAUAGAGACAUUCUCUAACUCUUCAGCGGGUUGUGCUUGCUGGGUGAAGGAGUCAUCUCGAGGGUCGUCGGGUUGACUGUUGCUAUCCUGAAGACCCGAGUUGGAUUCAUCUGGGCUGGUCUUUACGACUUGGUUAUGUAUAGAGAGAGUCUCCUUGGGGACAGGCAGGUGUUGUUUGACUGAAGUGUUGUAACAUGAUCGAGCACUAAGUUGAUCUCCCCUGAUGUACCCAUUGCCGAAAGGGGUUGGAAACUUCAUCAACAACAUAUGUGUGGAUACCAUGGCCUUGAGAUCAUUGAUGCCUGUGCGCCCAAAGAUGACAUUGUAUGCCGUCGGGCAAUUGACCACUAAGAAGUUAGUGGUAAUAGUAGCUGUGUAGUGGCCUGUACCAAUGGUGAAGGGUAAGUGUAUACUCCCUAAAGGUUGCACGAUAUCGCCAGAGAAGCUUAUCAGAGGAGAAAUCGAGCGAUCGAGCAAGUGUUCAGCUACAUUAAGUGCCUUGAAAGCUUCAGCAAACAUGAUAUUGACUGAAGCACCUGUGUCUAUCAGGAUUCGUUUCACAUCAAAAUUUGCUAUGUGAGCUUCCACGAUCAGCGGGUCAUUAUGAGGGUAGAUGAUACCUCUUUCUUCCUCAGGGUAGAAACAUAUUGGAUCCCAGUUAGGCUUUUGAUACUUGCCUCCUCUGAUGUCUUCCACGUGAAACACUUGAUGGCCAGGUCUCAAAGUUCGUUCACUGUUUUUCAUGGCCCUAUUGGAAGAUUCAGACAUGGGUGUGCCGCCGCUUAUGGAAUAUAUCACAUUCACCUGGCGUUGGUUACGGUUAUCCCUCGAAGGGUGAAGGAGGAACUGAUCGAUUUUUCCUUCACGUGCCAGAGCUUCAAUAUGGUCACGGAGGAUAAUGCACUUUUCACUAUCAUGGCCAUUAUACUCGUGGUAGCAGCAAAACAUUCCCGUGUUCUUCGUGGACUUGUAAUCUGGCUGUCUUGGCUUUGGCUUUGGUAUCAGGUGAGCUAUACUGGGGUAGAUGGCAGCACAUGUAGCAUUCAAAGAGGUGUAUGUCUCAUACCUCGGGGUAGGGCCUGUCUUGACACGUGAUUGGCCCACUGCGUUGACUGCCUGGGGGCGGGCAUUAUUGUGACGAUAUCCUGAGUUAUCGCGAUAGUGCCCCUUAUUCUUUUUAUUAAAAUGAGAUUGGUGAGGAUGGAAGUCUUUCCUUUUGCCCUGAGAUUGAUAUGUCUGCUGACUUGGCGAAGCAUUAAAUGAGGCAGGGGGGUGUGCUGCUACCACUUGGAAGGUUGAGGUCUUUUCAUCGGUUGGAUCUGGCCUCCACUCCCUACUUGCUGAUAAGGGGUGACUGUAGGGGGUUUCCCUUGAUAUGUCCUUGCCUCGGCGGAGGCAUGGUUGUAAGCUUGUGUCAUCACCUCAGAGUAAGUCUUCCAAGUGUUAGCAUUGAUCAUGUACUUGAAGAAACAGUCACGUAAGCCUGCCGUGAAAGCCUUGAGGGCGGUCUUGUCAUCUGCCUCAGCGCAGCGAGAAUACUCAUGGCUGAAGCGGCCAGCGUACUUUCAUAAUGACUCGUCCGGCUUCUGGUGAAUAGUGUACAAGUCAUCUGCGGAAUGCAAGCGAUCGGUCUGGAAGAUGUGUUGAGAGACAAACAGCUUCCUCAACUCUUCAAAUGAGUCUACCGUCUCAGGUGGAAGACGACAAUACCAGUUUAAAGCUCCGCCAGAGAGGGUGGAGGGGAAGAGAAGGCACCGUUCUUCGUCGGUGUGUCCCCGGUAUACCAUGGUGGACUCAAAGAGGUUAAGGUGUUCAAUCGGGUCUUCCUUUCCAGUAUAGAGCUGUAAGUCAAGCUUCUGCUUUGUCUUCGCUUGGAGGGGAAUGUUGAGGAUCCUUCUUGUGAGAGGGCCAGGCCUGGGUUGGUUCCAAUCAGGUAUCUUGGCUUGACGUUCAGCCUUCAGCUUGUUUACUUCUUCAAGAAGCUGCAGGACAAGGGGGUCCUGAGCGGAGUCGUGCACCACCGAAGUUUUCUUCUUUAAGUCCCCAUCGCCUCUUGGAAGUAGGAAAGUUUGAUCAAGAUAGUGUGAUCUUUCUCUAGACUCGCCAUACUGACUUCUAGAGUGAGUAUGUCGGAAUGUUUCCGAAUCCCCAGUACAUUCAUAUUCUUCUGGGACUUGUUGCCCAUUCUCUAGAUUGGCGGCUGGCCUGGGUCGUGGAAGAGGACCGAGUCUUUCAGAAACCCUUGGGUCAUUGAUCUUCGAGCUUAUGUGGAUGAGAUUCUCUCGACGUUGCUUUAGGAAGUCUCGACAAUCGCGAUAGACAGCUUUUGAUCCUUCCGCUCCCUCUGUGAGGAGGUGUUUUCCUCUACUUCUCCUGCUUCGGGUUGAAGCAGCUGGGUUGAGAGAAGUCUCAUGUUGAUUAUCACAUUGAUGUGUAGCUCGAUCCCUAUCAGGGAUGUCCGUGUCGGAUAUCGGCGACCCUCCGUGUUGGGGGGCAUUCAGUUGAUUGUUGACCUCAACAGGGGCGACGAGCUUAUGUGUUUGAGCCUGCCUAGCCUCGUGAAGCAUCUCGAAAAGUUUUUCAUAUUGUUCCUGGAGGACUUCAUUCUUCAUCGCUAUCUUGUUGUUCUGAACUUCUAGCUCAUCGACUUUAGCUUGAAGAGUAACUUUAUUUCCUUCAUGUUUUCGCUGCUUCAUACUAGGUCCAGCGGGGGUGUCAUUCGGUGUGCUGUGGCUUCUUUCGCUCCCCAUGUUGGAGAGAGAUGCUUGGCCAAAAGAAAGUGUACAAGCGGUGGAAACCAGCUUGACAAAGCUGAAGAGAGUGGGAGUAAGUGUCUUUCCCACAGACGGCGCCAAAUGUUGAUGCACAAAAUCAGCGAGGACUUUGGUACAACAGAAAGUGUCAGGUUUUGUGACCUUCGCUUGGUUGCUUCGGUCACUAGUGAGGAUAAGUACGUAAAUGAAUAGAGAUAGAGAAGCAAACACAGGAUGUACGUGGUUCACCCAGAUUGGCUACGUCCACGGAGUUGAGGAGUUCUCAUUAAUUGUGAAGGGUUUACACAAAUACAUAGGUUCAAGCUCUGGUUUAGUGAGUUCUAGUGAAUAGUUUAGUACAAAAUGACAUUAGAGAUUAUUGUGGGAGUAUGACCCCUAUUUAUAGAAGAGAGUUUCUAGUUUUGUUCUGACAUUGACACGUGUCGUGUUGUGACGUGUCGUGCUGUGGUUGGCUUCUGAUGUCGACACGUGUCGCAUUGUGAUUGGCCUCCCGGUUGAAGGGAAGCUCUUCUGGAUCCUUGAUGGUAUAACGUUGACCGGUGCUCAGUAGUUUCGGGAUUGGUCAAGUAUGGUACAAACAAAUACUAUAGAAUAUUUAAAUGGUCCGUAGGGUGGUUGAAUCUAUCCACAAAUGUCCCAUUUGAAUCCUUUGUAAAAAGAUGGAGGGUGCUAAGGUAUAAUACGUGUCCAGGUAUGAUUUCUUUACUUCUGGUAAAAGGAUGCCCAAAACGGCGCAUCACGAAUCAUCCUAGAUAUCCCAAACGUACAUCCAUAGCGAAAAUUCCUUAGGAAUCGCGGGCUUCUGGCCGGCCACAUAGUGGACUUGAAUGGAUGUAAUCCAUUCGUUAAGCGUUCCAUCUUCUCUAGAAUAUGCAUUUAACUAUAUUCGUAAGAAGUGCAAAAUGGUAAUAUGCCAAGGAAUUUUACUCCAUUUUUCUACAUUGGUUUCAAUAUGGUAAUAAUACUCUCGAAUAUCCUUAAAGAUCAAAAAUGCGUUCUUCCGGAACGAAGUGAGUAUAAGGCUUCCCUUUAUGGUAAAGUUAAUACCAUUGGACAAUAUAGGGCAGUGCCAUGCCCCACAAUCAGGUUGGAUAAGCCUGAAAGGUUGUCGGGGGAUGAUUAGGUAUGAAGUUAGCAUAGAACCAGACAGCUAACUUCCCCACAAAACAUACCUAAGCAUGAGUUAAUUGUAGUCACAUGUGGUAAUCUUCGUUAAUUAACUCUUUUAUUCGAGAAUAAUGGUGACAUCCAAACACUAAUCUUAAAUCCGAGAACAAAAUAAAUUAUUCACAAAAUAAACCAAAAAAAACAAUGGGGUUCGGCCAAUAGGCCGUCCAUGUCAAAUUUCGCUCUUCCAAAUGUAUUAGGUGGAGCAAAAUGAGUCUUCACAAAUGGACUACGAGAAUUGUACCUAUUCAUAGACGUAACAGUUUCAAUCAUGUUUUGCUUCAGGCAAAAAUUCAUCUUUGCAUGAUUUGAAACAGUCCAUAACGGAUUUGAAGAGUCAUGGAGUCCUCAGCAGGGAGGUACUUCCAUUGGAUAUGCUUUAGGCAUAAGUCUUCGAAUAAGGAUCAUGGCGGAUGCUUAUUCACGUCUUGUAUCCACAUAAAGUAGUUUACUAUUCGAAACUUCCAAAUCAGUGAAAUCGAACUUGUUACGGUUCGACAAUACGCUGAAUGGAGGAAACAAGAAUGUGAUUGGUGUUUUAGGAAAUAAAAUUUCCAUAAACAACAAAUUUAGAACAUUCAGGUUCUUAAGACAUGGUUUGGUUUAAACGGAUUUAAGCAUGGAGAACUUCGGGUCUCAACAUGAGUGUUGCGCAUUAAGAAACUUCAGGUUCAUAUGGCACUUUUCCGAAACUUCGGGUUCGGAAGUAUGAACUUUUAAGUUCAUAAUAUCUGCAGACAAACACAAAUAUAUAUGCAAGCAAAUAUACAACAAGGAUAUACAAAGAUAUAACUUCAGGUUUAUAAUUAUAAUUUAAUUAAUUUAUUUGGACUUCGGGCCAAAUUAAAAUGUGGGUGAAAAAAAUAUAAAACCCAUUAGGCCUAAAAAAAAUUAGGCGAAUAAAAUUCGGGGUCAAAACAAAAAAAACUAAGUCACGGGUGACUUGAAAAAAUUUGGUCCAUACUACCUAGGCCCAAAAAUUGGGCUAGGGGUCUCGGGUGUAGGCUGUAGGCCUACGGGGAGGGGGCUGGGCUGCUGCAGGCAGUCCAAGAAAAUGUUUUUUUUUUCGCGGGCCGCUUCAGGCGAGCCCAAAUAAAUUUGUUUUUUUCUUUUUUUUUCGUUUUUUUUCUUUUCUGCUGGCCGAGAAGAAAAUGGGCCAAAACAAGGGUAUGUAUGGGUCACUGUAGGUGAGCCCAAGACACCAAGCGAAACGGGCCGAGAGACAGAGCCCAAAUGGGGCUCGGGGAAGGUCCAAAACAUCCCAACCGUAGCUGGGUGUGUUCAUCGGGGAAGGACACCGGAAUUAGUGGACGGCGCCGUGUCAACCGGCGUUUCCAAGGUCGAGACAAGUUCGUAAGUCUACGAAAACCACAAAUAUGAACGGAGAUUUGAAAAAAUCUCGAUAUUUGUUGUGAAAAACCCUAUAAUUUCGAAUCGAAAUCUUGGGAAACCUAAUGAAAUUUAAUUUGAAAUUUCAUACAAAUUAGAUGAAAUUCUUCAGGAAUUUCAGUGAGAUUGGAUCAAAGAUCAUGAUUCCAUGUCGGAUUGAUGCAGAAAAUCACACGACAAAGCCGUGGUGUCGCUUCAGGCGAUGUGUAUUUUCUGGGUUUGGGACGCCAUGGGCGUCAGGUUUCCAACGGGGUCACGGGUUCCCUCAUAGGGACUCGGUGUGUGACUCACAGUGUGAGGGUGGUCUGCAGGCCAUCUUAUGAUGGUGGUGGACGCCGUGGUUGGCGUCGGGUUGUCCUGGGUUUCAACCUGAGUCUCGGCUCGGGGACUCGAUGCAAGCUCCAGGCCUGGCGAGGGAGUGGUUGGGCCAUCGCAGGCUACGGGCCUGGUGGCUUGUGAAAGCAUGGGUUCGAAGAACCCUAAUUCCCCGAUUCCAAAUUUUUCAAAUUCAAUUAUAGGCAUAUAUAAUUCCAUGAAUCACAUAUAAUUCCAUGAAUCACAUAUUUACCUUGAUGCAUAUGCAAAUAAUGGUUUCAAUGCAUGUACAUAUGUAAGAUUCAAUUCAUGAAAAAUAUCAAAUUCACAUAAUUGUAGCAAUUUUGGUUAUGAGGCAUACACAAUUUAUGUAGAAUCUAAAAUACGUUAAACGUAAAGUUGGGUCAUGCAUCAUGGUGAAUGUUCAUGCGAUCAGGGCUUCAAAAAUAUCGAGUUAAAAGCCGUUGUUUUGAAGAACCUGAUUGCGUGAUGAUAUGAAUGAACUGGUUUGAUGCAGAAAAAUUAUUUCUUCAAUUUCGGCUUUCAUCUUCAAGCUUGUAUCACGUUCAACAUAAGAAGAAAAAUAAAUUGAAUCAAUAAAAGAAUAUGAAUUCAAUAAAAUUAAAAUUUAAUCAAUUAAAAAUAAUUGAAACGUAAUACUCCCCUGAUUGAAAAUGAAUAAAUUCCCUUUAAAUUCUUCUAAGCACAGCGUGAAGAGCGUGCUGAUAACGUGUUGUGGCCUAUAUUUAAUAGAUAGGUGCGGCAAAGAGAAGAAGAGAGAAUGGAGAAUAGGUUUGAGGAAUUGUGUGUUAAUUCCCCAGUCCUUGUGCCUUUAUUUAUAGUAAUUAGGAGGAGAGAAACUUGCUCUCCAAGUAAUACAAAGUAUAUUAGGAAAGAUCUUCUAGAUCCCAAAGGAUUCCUAUUUUAUCUCUACUUAGGAUUUACACAAUCACAUAUUGAUAAGAACAUAUGUCACAACAUCAUAAUAAUUUGAUAUCUAACCCAUAAUACCUCUCACAUAUCUGUUUGCCUUAACCUUUGUACUACAGUCCAAUUUCCUCCAACCUGAUAUCUAACUAUCUAAGUCACACAUCCUUAUUGUCUGUCAUAUUUGUAACGUUCAAGUUUCAGAAACGCCAAAGUAAUGAGUUUUCCAAAAAAAAAAAAAAGCCAAAGUAAUGCGUUUUGGUAAUUCAAUUAUUGUGAUGGGUUUUUAGCCUUAGUGGCUACCAAAAGGGCAUUUUCUUGCAGAAUUGUUCUUGAUAGAAUCUAUGAAAUAAAUAAAAGUCACAUAUCUUCAAUUUUCUUGCUGAAUUGUUCUUGAUUAAUUUAGUUAGAGCUGUGUGUAUGUGUUUUAUGUUUAUGUAAAUCUUGAAAAUAUUCUCUUUGUCAAAUUUUAGGGGGUGUAUUCAAUUGGGAUUUUGAGGAAUUUUAAUUCUUUUAAUGAAUCUAAGAGUAUUCAAUCAAGAUUUUAAGUGAUUCUUUGAAAUUCAAGGUAUAUUCAAUUAGAAUUUUAAAAUAGUUUAUUAAAAUCCUUAGAAAUCUGGGUGUAUUCAAUUAGGAUUUUAAAGAAGUUUAUAACAUUCUAGGUGUAUUCAAUUAGAAAUUGAUUUUAAAGAAUUUGAAAAGGUUGAGGAAUUAGAGGGAAUUUGAGAGAUUUCGUAGUGUAUUUUAAGCAUCCACAAAUCGCACAUCUUCCCAUGAGAUUUCGAGGGAAUUGAAUCAAAAUUUUAUAUGGAAUAUCUACAAAUCAAUUAAACUCCAUAAAAAUUUAAUGAUUUAUAAAUCCAUUAAAGCCUCUCAAAUUCUCAAUUGAAUACACCCCCUUAGAAUCGAUGAUAUAAAUAGACAUUUUAUUAUCGUAUAUAGCUAAUUUGAUUAAAACAAUGUGUUUAUUGCAUGGAGUUUUGACUCAGUAACAGUUUAAAUUGAUUAAAAGAUUGCUUAAAUAUAUGUGUAUUUUCUAACGAGGAUUAGUUGAGUUGUAAAGUCUAUGUUUGAGUUCCAUUGCAAGCAACCAUUUUUGGUAUGUGAUCUGUAAAAACCAAAAAAAGACUAAGACCCCUUGUGUGAGCUCUCGAGAAGACUUGUGGUAUGCCCUGACCUUGAUGGAUUAGUUUUCCUUUCCCCUAAACUUUUACAAAUCAAAUAUAUAAAUAAGUUAUUUAGUAGUCACUUAGUAUUAUGAUUUAAUAGUAUUCAUUUUGACAUGUAAGUGAGGAGAAAUUUUUCAGUUUGUUGUGAACACUAAACAUGACUUGAUACACCAAGUAUCAUAAUAAAAUAGUUUGAUUUUUUUUUUUUGUUUCUAACCAAUUGUAUUAUUACAACGUGUUUCUAGUAAAUUGAAAAAUCUCCUAUAAAUAAGAAGUUUUAAGUUCGAUUCUCGUCAAGGUGAAUUCGAACCAAACUAUUAUGAUUGUCUCAUUGUGAAGCUAAACUCACUCCCUCCACAACUUAAUGUACAUAAUAUCAUAUUAUUAAAAAAACUAUUUAUUCAGUAAUUAUUUUUAUUUUAUUACAAUUUAAACUACCGACUUUGCCUGUCAUUCCCAGGGAAUGCACGUCGCAGAGUACAACACCGCUUUAGAGCUUCCAAAUUCAAACCACUUAGGUUUUUCCGUUUCCCAACGCUCUUAUGUAGAUCCGACUCUGCCCCCAAUUCCUAGGCAACGCAUAUUGCGGAGUAUCGAUCUAAUGUUGAAAGUCGUCCAACAAUCCAAUUCAUCACUGCUGAGGCACAGUCCUGACACGAAUUCUAGUAUUUCAACCAGAAUGUGACAAUUCAAAUAGAGAAAGGUUCGCACAACUGCGUCGAAUGGCACUAAAUCCGGAAGUCGUGACAUCCAAAUGAAGUCAUGACAGACACACUAUUACCGUAAGAGAAGAUUCUACGUAUGCUCUGAACAGACCACGCUCUAAUACUAAUCUGACACGCCCCGAUCUCAAUAUUCCCCGAAUACCAGGAUAGGCACGUGUUGGCCGACACCCGAGAGUGACGAAAGCUAUUUAUUGAGUGCAAAUGCUGAAAACAAGGGAUAGAUGAAACUUAUAAAUGUAAAAUAAUAAAGAAUAUACAUUUAAGUAACGUGUUCAGAGCACACAUCUAAUCUAGAACACUAAAAGAAUUAAUAUAAAAAUUGAAUGAACACAGAAGUGGGUCCUACACCGAGAGGACUCGAAGAUACCGAUGCGGAAGUGCCUGGAUGCCGGGAUUGUAUGCCUCGAUUCUAAGUCCUGAAGGGGGCGUAAACAAACAUGAGUGGACCAAUUUGAUAUAUAAGUAGUGAAACAGUUAUCAACGUACUAACCCCCAGGUUUUAUGAAAACACAUAUAUAAUGAUAAACAUAGGUUUUCCGAAACCUAGCAUGAUGUGCAAUGUCUCAAAAUCAUAACUUGUAUAUAUAAUAAUCACUAGUGAAUUGUUCGAUAACCUCUAGGCCCCAUGCCGGCUUCCCGUCUCUGAGUAGACAGUUAGAGGAAAAUACACUUCAAGCCUCAUGCCAGCUCCCCGUCCCUGUGCUAAAUAGCCAGAUGAAACACACUCCAAGCCCUAUGCCAACACCAAACCGUCGCCCGGGACGGACCGGAAUCUAUCCCUACGUCCCGUAGUGGAAAUGACCACUAGGUAAGUACAAAACCACUGAACAUAUAUAUCUUGAAAAGCAACUUCAUAGUAUAAAGUCAUCCAUCAUCUAUACUAUAAAGAGGUGUUCGAAACAUAUUCUAAAUAUCAUAUCGUCAUCCAUCGGAUAUUCUAUAAGAACAUGGGUUAUAGGAAAAAUAGUAAUAAUUCAAAAUAGUCUCAAUAAGCAUGUUAUCUCAAAGCGUUUCAUAGAACAUAAUCAUUAAAUCAUGAUUUUCCAUGCAUUUCUACUAUUAAAACAUGCAUUUUUAGAAGGGGUCCAUUCAUAGUACUUCGCCGCCGAAGAGCCACGCAACUAGUGAAGACAGAAACGCCACUAUAAUUGCCCCUAAGCACAUAAAGGGCUCAAUUAAUAAAACUAUAUAAUAGCAAUUGAAUUUGGGAAAACGGACAUUGGAAACGGAUUCAAAACGUCGAAUUACCCUAAGAAGGGUCCCGGAUAAAUUUCGUAAACGUCAAUAGAAUAUUCCCUGAAUAUUCCCUAAUAGAAUAUUCCUUAACAGAAUAUUCUCCAUAAAUGGUUUUGGGCCGACUAGGGUUUAGGGUUAGGACUUGGGUUAGGUUUAGGUUUAGGAUAAAGGGUUAAUGGGUUUAGGUUAAUUAGGUGGGCUAGGUUUAGAGGAAAGGGCUUAGGGCCCUGGUUCAAAAGGCCCGAAGGCCUUAAGCCUAAGGGUUUUUGGGUUUCUAGAUAAAAAAGGCUUAGGGCCAUAGCUAAUUUGGCCCAAAAGCCUUUAACUUAAAACAAUUAAUAAAAUAAAUAAUAAAACUAAAAUGGGUUUUGGGUUGGGCUCGUCAAGAAAGACCCAAAGGGUCUGGGUUUGGUGGGUCGCCAGACCCACGGAUGAAGAAGGCCGAAAUUCGGCCGGAAAUCUACACUAACUUUAAACGGCCAUAACUUUGUCAAAACGCAUCAAAAUCGAGUGAUUUAAAAAUAGAAAUCAUAGCCCUUGAAGAGACAAAGAGAAUGGUACCUCACACGAUGUCUAACUUGCCGUAGUUGGGCUGAAAACGCCUCGAAAGCCACUGAUGUCGCCGGAAACUGGGUAAGAUUCAAAUGGAUAUAACUUCUUCAAUACUCAACGAAAUUGAGUGAAACAAAAAGGAAAGUUGUAGUUCUCAGCGAGACGAAGAGAUUGAUACCUUGUACGCAGGCAAACUUGUUGUAGUUUGGCCGAAACUUGCCUCGAAAGUGGCGAUCUGCGUCGGAGCUCGUGUACGGGGCUUCAUGGUUCGACUUCCAAGAUGCCAAGACUAUGGUUGAGUUCAUAGCGACGAGAUAAAGAUGAUGGUGAUGUUGAAAUUGUGAUUUGAUGAUGAUUUUAGGAUAUGGGUUAUGGGUGUGGCACGGUGAAGGAGAAGAAGAAAAAGAGAGUGAGGGAGAGUGACGGGAAAGAGAGGGAAGAAGUAGACCAAAAAGGGGAUGGGCCUCACGUGGCACACAAUUUAACACCAAAAAUAAUUUUAAAAGAAAACAAUACCCAAAACAAAAUGAAAUUACAUUACUUUUAGGGGUGGGGCUUUACAUGAAGGAGUGAAUAUUAUGUAUUAUUCAUAGCAGGUAUGGCUAUGUCACUCCUGACAAUGUGCCGGAAUUGCUUGAUCAGCAUAUUGGGAAAGGGAGAUCAUCGAACGACUUUGGAGGUUUGUGCGUUUUUGGUUUUGCUUACCCCCUUCUGAUGAAAAUUUCCCUGGAACUGAAGCAUCUGUCAUAUUUUUGGAUUGCUGAUUAUUUCUAGUGUUGUAUGAUAGAUUAUUGAUAUUGAGUUGCAUUAACAUCGAGAAACCAAAUCAAACAACCUUUUUAUAUUGAUAAACCAAACCAGAGGUGGUUUGGGGAACAGGGGAUAUGGUCAAGUAGGCACUUUACAGAGAUGGAGAAAGCGAAGCAGAUCUAGCGAAUUGGAUAACGUCAUUACCCUGCAUAUAUUUCUGAUUUGUAAUGUUCUUCUGAUUAAUUGUUGUCAAAUUGUGUAUUAAGCAUGAUCAUACAUGUUCUUACUCAAUUGCUAUUGACGAAACUUAGAGUUGAAUCUUUAAAUAACUGAACACGAAAUUCAAUUUCAUUCCUUACAGGGGCCGAAUGGGAGUAUCUUCUGAUGAAGCUGAAAAAAUUAAUGACCUGAAGCUUCCAAAUGGAGGAGAAAGUAAGAAAAUCAAGGAGAAGCCCAAAGAAAAUGGCAAUCAGAUUUAGAAAAAUGAGAACUUUUCAGGCUGUUGCCAGGGUGCUAGUAGUAAUGGAUUUACAUGCUGCAAAGAAGUAAGUUUGGGGCAGAACGGUGGAAGUGAGGAAAAGAAGCUGAAAGAAACCAGAGAGUCGUGUGCCAAAAAGGAUGCCUUAGGGAAGCUGCCAAGCUUGAUUGGGAACUGGGAGCAAAGUGAUGUUCUCGCAGCUGCUGCCGUGGUUGGAGCAGUGGCAACAGUGGCUGUGACCUAUAGCUUUUAUAGAAGGUCAGGCUGAAACGUACUCUAAUCCAUGUCGGGUUCUGCCACGGGUGUCGAGGCCCUAUAUUUUUCUCUUUGUAGAAAGAUGUUAUAACGUCAAUUAAAUAAGCUCUUAUAUAUGAAAGGAGAAUCUGGUAGCUACACUAAAUGUUCAUUUUUGGAGGGUGGGAUGACUUCCCGAAGCUAAGCCAUAUACAGUUACAAAAAUAUUCACUAUUCCUUUCCGUAGUUGAUUGCGUACACGACUGAUUUGUUGUUCCAAUAUACUGUUGAAUGGUUUUAUCUUGAUAGUGGGAUUUUUUAUGAGACUACUUUGAUGUGGUGUUGUCUAAGCUCUUGUUAUUGUUUUUGAUUUGCCUGCUGGACUCGUAGAUAGCAAAGCUCAGAGUUUGGUCGAGAUCAUCGUCCACUGCUGAUCUUUGAUAGCAUCUCCUCCACCAGCCUCAAUACCGUUGUACUCAUCCCAUCAACUUUUUCUCCCCCAGCAUCAGUGUCCUGCAUAAUCUGCUCUAUAUCCUUAUUCCUCGACUGCUUGUUUCUCGAACCGUAAUUGGAACAGUCUUUCAAGAGAAACAGUAACUCCUGUGCCGUGGCCUUAGCCGUCCACGUCCCAUCCAUGCUCAGCUGAAGCAGUCCGGGCAUUGCUCCUUCUCUCAGUAUCAGUCCUCUGUACUUCUCUCUGCAGCUGUGGCAUAUAAGCCGGAAGAUACUGUGUGCUCCUUGCAUUUCGUCGAUCCCUCUUCAAUUGUCUCAACAAGUGCCCAGAUUAUGUCGCACGUACCCGCAGUUUCCUUCAGCGCAGUCUUCGAUGAAGAAACAAUGUCGUCAAGUAGCGCAAUUGCCUUCUCAACUAGUUGGCUUGAUUUUUCCAACCCGUGAAUUAUUUGUAACAACUAUAACACUACGCCCGAAGAGACGUAGUCUGAUGGCAGGUUGAGAGGUUGUGUAGUGUGGCUAUGCUGUCGAGUUUCGCUUGCACACCGAUGCCUCCAGCAUAAUCUUGAUCGAGAAAUUCAACUAUUAGUUGGAUGCCUCCGUGUGAUGCAUUUUGUAGCUUGUUUCCCUUGCAAGACGAUAGGAUCAAAAAAGCUGCCAUCGUGAGCUCGAUCAUCGCCUUGCUUUCACAGCUAAAUUGAUCCUUACUUUGUGCAAGUAAAUUACUUAUUUACGACAUUGAUCCUUCUGACGUAAGCUACAAAUGUCUCCUCUAGCUAAAUUUUGUUAAUUACUGUUCACAAAAUAAAGAUAGAUAGUCAUUUAGUUGGCCGGUUGGAGUUUAAUUUUCUGCAUCUUUUGUUAAGAUAGGUUGUUGGAGAUGAGGUCUUUUCCCAUUGAUACUCUCUAGGCUGACUCCAACGAAGAUUCUUCUGUCCACCAGCAGGGGCAGUUGGACCGACCUGCGCACCAACCUUAAAAUACAAUAAGGUCGUCAUCUGGUCAGAGUUGGGCGGCAGAUUUCUCAAAAGACUACAACAAAAAAUAUGGAAAUUGCAUCGUAAGCAGUUAUACAAUUUUUAAAUUUGAUGGUAACAUUUAUACAUAUCAAACUGUGGGGGAAUAGCACUCACGCGUUAUCGACACGGCAGUGACAUCAUUGGCCCAUGCUAAAUAUUUAAAGGGGCCACCUUCACUGGGGAAUGUUGGGAAAGACUUGACUCUGGUUUUUUGAAAGCCAAGCUGCACUUCUACAGGCUGCAAUGGAUACCAGCAGCUCCGCCCAUGGAGCUGGCUCUGCCGCCUCUUCGUCUUCUUCGCAGAGCUCAAACCGCUGGAAGUACGAGGUGUUCCUGAGCUUUAGAGGCGAAGACACCCGCAACACUUUCACAGAUCACCUCUUCAUUGCGUUACGCAAUGCUGGAAUUAACACGUUUAUAGACAACCAGCUCACAAGGGGGGAAAACAUACAGAGUGAACUUGACCAAGAAAUCGAAGGGUCGAGAAUCGCCGUCAUCGUCUUCUCGAAGGAGU